rnacentral:rRNA from 1 species
CUGUGAUGGGGAGAAGACAUUGUGUCUUCGAGUCGUUGAUUUCACACUGCCGAGAAAAGCCUCUAGAUAGAAAAUAGGUGCCCGUACCGCAAACCGACACAGGUAGUCAAGAUGAGAAUUCUAAGGUGAGCGAGCGAACUCUCGUUAAGGAACUCGGCAAAAUGACCCCGUAACUUCGGGAGAAGGGGUGCUCUUUAGGGUUAACGCCCAGAAGAGCCGCAGUGAAUAGGCCCAAGCGACUGUUUAUCAAAAACACAGGUCUCUGCUAAACCGUAAGGUGAUGUAUAGGGGCUGACGCCUGCCCGGUGCUGGAAGGUUAAGAGGAGUGGUUAGCUUCUGCGAAGCUACGAAUCGAAGCCCCAGUAAACGGCGGCCGUAACUAUAACGGUCCUAAGGUAGCGAAAUUCCUUGUCGGGUAAGUUCCGACCCGCACGAAAGGCGUAACGAUUUGGGCACUGUCUCAACGAGAGACUCGGUGAAAUCAUAGUACCUGUGAAGAUGCAGGUUACCCGCGACAGGACGGAAAGACCCCGUGGAGCUUUACUGUAGCCUGAUAUUGAAAUUCGGCACAGCUUGUACAGGAUAGGUAGGAGCCUUUGAAACGUGAGCGCUAGCUUACGUGGAGGCGCUGGUGGGAUACUACCCUAGCUGUGUUGGCUUUCUAACCCGCACCACUUAUCGUGGUGGGAGACAGUGUCAGGCGGGCAGUUUGACUGGGGCGGUCGCCUCCUAAAAGGUAACGGAGGCGCUCAAAGGUUCCCUCAGAAUGGUUGGAAAUCAUUCAUAGAGUGUAAAGGCAUAAGGGAGCUUGACUGCGAGACCUACAAGUCGAGCAGGGUCGAAAGACGGACUUAGUGAUCCGGUGGUUCCGCAUGGAAGGGCCAUCGCUCAACGGAUAAAAGCUACCCCGGGGAUAACAGGCUUAUCUCCCCCAAGAGUUCACAUCGACGGGGAGGUUUGGCACCUCGAUGUCGGCUCAUCGCAUCCUGGGGCUGUAGUCGGUCCCAAGGGUUGGGCUGUUCGCCCAUUAAAGCGGUACGCGAGCUGGGUUCAGAACGUCGUGAGACAGUUCGGUCCCUAUCCGUCGUGGGCGUAGGAAAUUUGAGAGGAGCUGUCCUUAGUACGAGAGGACCGGGAUGGACAUACCUCUGGUGUACCAGUUGUCGUGCCAACGGCAUAGCUGGGUAGCUAUGUGUGGACGGGAUAAGUGCUGAAAGCAUCUAAGCAUGAAGCCCCCCUCAAGAUGAGAUUUCCCAACUUCGGUUAUAAGAUCCCUCAAAGAUGAUGAGGUUAAUAGGUUCGAGGUGGAAG